rnacentral:misc_RNA from 1 species
GAUGAAGAACGUAGCGAAAUGCGAUAAGUAAUGUGAAUUGCAGAAUUCAGUGAAUCAUCGAAUCUUUGAACGCACAUUGCGCCCGCUGGUAUUCCGGCGGGCAUGCCUGUUCGAGCAUCAUUUCAACCCUCAAGCCCCCGGGUUUGGUGUUGGGGAUCGGCUCUGCCCUUCUGGGCGGUGCCGCCCCCGAAAUACAUUGGCGGUCUCGCUGCAGCCUCCAUUGCGUAGUAGCUAACACCUCGCAACUGGAACGCGGCGCGGCCAUGCCGUAAAACCCCAACUUCUGAAUGUUGACCUCGGAUCAGGUAGGAAUACCCGCUGAACUUAAGCAUAUCAAUAAGCGGAGGA